rnacentral:ncRNA from 1 species
UUGAGCUGUAUGCAGAGAAAUUUGCUUGUACAGUUCUUAGGGGGCGGAGGUGCAGUAAUGUACUUUCGCUACCCGAC